rnacentral:rRNA from 1 species
AGUGAACGCUGGCGGUAGGCCUAACACAUGCAAGUCGAACGGCAGCACAGUAAGAGCUUGCUCUUACGGGUGGCGAGUGGCGGACGGGUGAGGAAUACAUCGGAAUCUACUUUUUCGUGGGGGAUAACGUAGGGAAACUUACGCUAAUACCGCAUACGACCUACGGGUGAAAGCAGGGGAUCUUCGGACCUUGCGCUAUUGAAUGAGCCGAUGUCGGAUUAGCUAGUUGGCGGGGUAAAGGCCCACCAAGGCGACGAUCCGUAGCUGGUCUGAGAGGAUGAUCAGCCACACUGGAACUGAGACACAGUCCAGACUCCUACGGGAGGCAGCAGUGGGGAAUAUUGGACGAUGGGCGCAAGCCUGAUCCAGCCAUACCGCGUGGGUGAAGAAGGCCUUCGGGUUGUAAAGCCCUUUUGUUGGGAAAGAAAAGCAGCAGGUUAAUACCCCGCUGUUCUGACGGUACCCAAAGAAUAAGCACCGGCUAACUUCGUG